GCAGCGACUAUUUAUUAUUUGUGAGGCUUCUUGGAGGUUAUUUUUGUUUUCUCUUCUGUUUUGACGACAACCACCAUUGUUUUUUUGUAAAUAAACCAGUUAUAUCUACCCACAACUGAGAGUCUGGCGUUUUAUGAUACGGACCUUUGGUUUUUCGGGUCUGCCGUAACAGUGAGGAUGAGGAGGCACUCUGUCAGGUGUGUGUGUGUGUGUGAGGAGGGCACUCUGUCAGGUGUGUGUGUGUGAGGAGGGCACUCUGUCAGGUGUGUGUGUGUGUGUGUGUGUGUGUGAGGGUGUGAAGGGCACUCUGUCAGGUGUGUGUGAGGGUGAUGAGGGCACUCUGUCAAGUGUGUGUGUGAGGGUGAGGAGGGCACUCUGUCAGGUGUGUGUGUGUGUGUGUGUGUGUGAGGGUGUGAAGGGCACUCUGUCAGGUGUGUGUGAGGGUGAUGAGGGCACUCUGUCAGGUGUGUGUGAGGAGGGUGUGAAGGGCACUCUGUCAGGUGUGUGUGUGUGUGAGGGUGAUGAGGGCACUCUGUCAGGUGUGUGUGUGUGUGUGUGAGGAGGGCACUCUGACAGGUGUGUGUGUGUGUGUGUGAGGAGGGCACUCUGUCAGGUGUGUGUGUGUGUGAGGAUGAGGAGGGCACUCUGUCAGGUGUGUGUGUGAGGGUGAGGAGGGCACUCUGUCAGGUG
ensembl:lncRNA